CAGGCUUAACACAUGCAAGUCGAGGGGCAGCAUGGUCUUAGCUUGCUAAGGCCGAUGGCGACCGGCGCACGGGUGAGUAACACGUAUCCAACCUGCCGUCUACUCUUGGACAGCCUUCUGAAAGGAAGAUUAAUACAAGAUGGCAUCAUGAGUCCGCAUGUUCACAUGAUUAAAGGUAUUCCGGUAGACGAUGGGGAUGCGUUCCAUUAGAUAGUAGGCGGGGUAACGGCCCACCUAGUCUUCGAUGGAUAGGGGUUCUGAGAGGAAGGUCCCCCACAUUGGAACUGAGACACGGUCCAAACUCCUACGGGAGGCAGCAGUGAGGAAUAUUGGUCAAUGGGCGAGAGCCUGAACCAGCCAAGUAGCGUGAAGGAUGACUGCCCUAUGGGUUGUAAACUUCUUUUAUAAAGGAAUAAAGUCGGGUAUGGAUACCCGUUUGCAUGUACUUUAUGAAUAAGGAUCGGCUAACUCCGUGCCAGCAGCCGCGGUAAUACGGAGGAUCCGAGCGUUAUCCGGAUUUAUUGGGUUUAAAGGGAGCGUAGAUGGAUGUUUAAGUCAGUUGUGAAAGUUUGCGGCUCAACCGUAAAAUUGCAGUUGAUACUGGAUAUCUUGAGUGCAGUUGAGGCAGGCGGAAUUCGUGGUGUAGCGGUGAAAUGCUUAGAUAUCACGAAGAACUCCGAUUGCGAAGGCAGCCUGCUAAGCUGCAACUGACAUUGAGGCUCGAAAGUGUGGGUAUCAAACAGGAUUAGAUACCCUGGUAGUCCACACGGUAAACGAUGAAUACUCGCUGUUUGCGAUAUACUGCAAGCGGCCAAGCGAAAGCGUUAAGUAUUCCACCUGGGGAGUACGCCGGCAACGGUGAAACUCAAAGGAAUUGACGGGGGCCCGCACAAGCGGAGGAACAUGUGGUUUAAUUCGAUGAUACGCGAGGAACCUUACCCGGGCUUAAAUUGCAGAUGAAUUACGGUGAAAGCCGUAAGCCGCAAGGCAUCUGUGAAGGUGCUGCAUGGUUGUCGUCAGCUCGUGCCGUGAGGUGUCGGCUUAAGUGCCAUAACGAGCGCAACCCUUGUUGUCAGUUACUAACAGGUUCCGCUGAGGACUCUGACAAGACUGCCAUCGUAAGAUGUGAGGAAGGUGGGGAUGACGUCAAAUCCGCACGGCCCUUACGUCCGGGGCUACACACGUGUUACAAUGGGGGGUACAGAGGGCCGCUACCACGCGAGUGGAUGCCAAUCCCCAAAACCUCUCUCAGUUCGGACUGGAGUCUGCAACCCGACUCCACGAAGCUGGAUUCGCUAGUAAUCGCGCAUCAGCCACGGCGCGGUGAAUACGUUCCCGGGCCUUGUACACACCGCCCGUCAAGCCAUGGGAGCCGGGGGUACCUGAAGUGCGUAACCGCGAGGAGCGCCCUAGGGUAAAACUGGUGACUGG
rnacentral:rRNA from 1 species